rnacentral:lncRNA from 1 species
AUAAAUGCAAAAGAAAAUCAUCAAGGCUAUUUUGCAUACCAUGGCUCUUUGAGGUUCAUGUUGAGGUCGGUUUUAAUCUCUUGUAAUUCAGUGUAUUCUGAAAACAAUGAACCUUUUAUAUUUAUUUCGAGUCACCUGUCUAAUAUUUGUCAAGAAUACUCCCUUUGCGGGGAUGUGAUGCCACCGCUGCACUCCUCGAGUCACCUGUCUAAUUGCUUUGAUCUUUGUAUUUUAGUACAGACAAGAAUAGCUUCAAUGACAGCAUCUCAAAACAUCAAGUUGUGUGACUUCCCUCUUGAGUGGGUGUUGUAUUUUAGCAGGCCUAUAUUUGAAAUAGUUGAGAGCCACUUUUGUUGUUUCUAUAUGGGUGCACACCAAAUUAAACCUUCCGAGAAGAUUAAUGUGCUCAUGAUUUACCUUCUGAAAAUGGGAACUUGUGAUCCUUCUGCGUGCGAUAAGCUGGAUAUGAAAAAGAAUGAUGUAGAUCUACAGCUCUAUAAUCUGAAUCGAAUUAGGUAUUCAUUUCAGUCCGUUGUAUCUUAUAUCUUGGUAUUCCAAAUCUCCAUGUGUGAAGAAAUUUUUUCAGCCAAAGGAUUAAUUUGUAAAUUCUCUGCUUGUAUAUCCUAUUUUACUGUUCAGAUUUUUCCUAGAGAUUCGGGCUGGCAACCAAAGAUGUUCAGCCUUGAUGGCUUGUGAUAUAUUAUCAUGUUUAGGAUAGACGAAAAUAAGAUUGCAAAGGUACAUUCUUUUCCUAAAUAAACUAAAUAGUGUUACAAAUGGUGAUAAACAUGGGUAGUUUUCACUUCUUUAUUACUGCUGAAUCAUGACAUAAAAUGCAUGUUUCUUGUUGUAUACCUUCAGUGUGGAUUAUUACGUGAUGUACCUUGUCAUUAACUUUCUUUAUUUAGGACUACUUUUGUUUCAUAUUCAUAAUAAAACUUUUCUCAGGAUACUAAAAUUUACCCUUGCACUCAAUUUUUCUAGAGCUAAUAAAAUAUCUCGUUUUAGUGAAAUUUGACUUUUACUAUUUUUUUGUCAAGAUACUCAGUUUUCUUGUGUUAAAAUUUAUCUUGUUACUAAAAUUUUAUAGGAACGAAGAGCUCAAGAUUUUGUUUUGUUCAUGAAGAUGCAUAAUCAAGAGGAACCACGAGGAUUCCUAAGAACACUUGAGGUGCAGCAACAUCACUUAACCUUUUCAUGUUACCCUAGAUGAUUUAUCAUCCUUGCUUUGCCCCUCCCGACAAGGAUUCAUAUCAAGAGUUCAAUACUUGUUGGGGGUUCCUCGCAAUGCACGCACAGAGAGGCAUAACUUCUUUGCUUCCCCCAUCAUCUCUGCAAUAAUAUGGCGUGCAUGUGCAAAAAGAAGGAUCUGAUGGUCUACUAAGGGCUUAUAGGAAUGAAGAGCGGCUUAUCUUCUUUACGUGUUUUUCUGGUAAAUAUUCAUCUGUCAGGCAAUACAAAUCGUAUGGUUACAAGUUCAACAACAACAUGGGGAGCGCUGGCGUGGUAGUCCGGCGGUAGAGGGAUGGCUGGGCAGCAGCCUACCGAGGAGUUGGAGGGAGGGCUUGAUUGGGCCACAUCUGUCCACGAGGGCUCGUUGGUGGACUAAUAAAGAAGGGGGGAGGGGCUUGGUGUAUCUGCGAUGCGCGGUUCCGGCUGGUGUGCUCCUCGGCGGCGUCCUGGACAGGUGGAUGUGUGGGCGGCUGCGUGUGUGCGUGUGCUUCGGCGGUGCGUGAAGAGGACGCGGGUGGCCAGUGCGGUGCCCUGGUGAGCAGGUGGUUAGAUCCGGACGGAUUUGGCCAUCGUGGCUCGAAGUUGGACUUGCUGGUGCAUGUUGUGCGGAGCUCGAGAGGUUGAUCCGGGCGAAAGCUUGUCUCCGGAGUUUCCAAGAGCCGGUGAUGGCAAAGCUUUCGAGUGUCGUUUCCUUCCUAUGGGCAUCGUCGAGGUAUUCUCAUCCGCAAUUUAUGCUGCUUCGGAGGAAACUCUAGAUUCAUGUGAUCGGACGAUGACGGUGCUUUGGCAUCAUAUCCUUCUCCAGGGUUUCAUCUUUCGAGCUAUGCAUUAGCAUGCUGGGCCGAUGGAAGAUGGAAGCAGAAUGCAUUUAUAACAAGGGCACUGGCCACAGGUUUACAACGACUUACUGGUUGUACUGAUGGAGCAGAGUGCAUAUUUGUGCAGAGUCUGCAAAGAGUAACUGAAAGACUCGACUGAUCAGAUUUGUCAAGAGGGCUUUCUUAUUUAUGUAUCCAAUUUUAUGCAUGCCAGAGGAAGAAGAUCAAGGUAUGUAUAUAUAGCUUGAUUAGACACAAUGGUAAAUUUCUUAUGCUUUUUUGGCCUGAAUCAUCUAUUAUGUUGUGCGUACAUGUACUACACAGUGUAUUAUUUUUUGGCCUGAAUCAAAAAAUAAUGCAGUCAUUUAACCUUCUCAAACCCGGAUCAUGUACUACACAGUGUUGUUUCUUUUGCCUACAAGCAUCACGCACACCUUCCAGUAGGACCUGAAUGAUGUGCAGAAGAUAACAAAACAAGUUUACAAGUGUUACCGAAAUUUCCUUAAGUUCUUUUCUCCUAUGAUUUACUGAAUGCAUCCUUGUGUUCUGUAAUUGUGUAAAAAAUGGCAUCUUUGUAAUGUACUUUUAUUUAACUCAGCUCAUUUUUCUCCGUAUUGUACUUCUAAAAUUUACCAAGUUUCGAAUUCUGACUCAGAGUGCUUAUUUUUGUUAGCUUUUAGUCAGCUGAGUUGAAGAAGCAAGUAAGCCUGAAGAAAUGGACAGAUUGACAUUUAAAAAUCCUGAAGAUAUGAACAAACAAUCUUGCUGAUUCAUGUGUACUAGCCUGUUCAUUCAUGUAUAGUUUAUAAUCUGAGAAAAUGUUUGCCGUCUAUGUUAA